UUUAACCAAAAUUGUGUAUCUUCUGCUAGACAUGAGUGAGAAGGGCUGUCCCAGGAGGCUGCUGCCCUUCAGCCUGGGUCUCAGAAUCAGAUGUGGAGCACACCUGAGAAAGGUAGGCCUGUGGAGUGAAGCAGAGCUACCCUGCUAAAUCCAGCUGACUCCCAGACAUAUGAGGAAGCGGAUGCAUAGCAAGUUUAAAUAGCUUGCAGAAGGACACACAGUUUGCAAGUGAAGGAGCUCAAAUUCAAAGACUGGCAGUCUGCAUCCAGAGUUGAUCAUCUUAAAUACCAUGCUGAACCGGUUGCUCUCAAAGUCUAAACAGUAUUUUUUACAAUAAGAUAUCCUUUUGUAGGUCAACGAAUAGUUUCUAAUUCUUUUUAAAAUAAAAUACAAUGAACUGAAUACAAUUUAAUGCAUCAGAGUAAAUUUUACAUAGCAAAGUAUGUAUUAUUUUCUUUCAGCUAUGCAAUUCCACUAGUAUGAGGUAUCUACUGUAGUGAAACUCACAGAAACAGAAAG
rnacentral:lncRNA from 10 species